AAUGAACGUUGGCGGCGUGGAUUAGGCAUGCAAGUCGAGCGAGAACCGUAGCAAUACGGGGACAGCGGCGCAAGGGAGAGUAAUUCGUGGAUACCUACCCUCGGGUCCGGGAUAGCUGCGGGAAACUGCAGGUAAUACCGGAUGACAUCUCCGGAUCAAAGGUGUGAUUCCGCCCGGGGAGGGGUCCGCGUCCUAUUAGCUAGUUGGUGAGGUAACGGCUCACCAAGGCUGUGAUGGGUACGGGGUGUGAGAGCAUGCCCCCGCUCACUGGGACUGAGACACUGCCCAGACACCUACGGGUGGCUGCAGUCGAGAAUCUUCGGCAAUGGGCGCAAGCCUGACCGAGCGACGCCGCGUGCGAGAUGAAGGCCUUCGGGUUGUAAAUCGCUGUCAGAGGGGAGGAAAUGCCGGUGGGUUCUCUCAUCGGUUUGACCUAUCCUCAGAGGAAGGACGGGCUAAGUUCGUGCCAGCAGCCGCCGUAA
rnacentral:rRNA from 1 species